rnacentral:rRNA from 1 species
GACGAACGCUGGCGGCGUGCUUAACACAUGCAAGUCGAGCGGUGAACCACUUCGGUGGGGGAUCAGCGGCGAACGGGUGAGUAACACGUGGGCAACCUGCCCUUAGCUCUGGGAUAACCCCGGGAAACCGGGGCUAAUACCGGAUAUGACUUCGAGCGGCAUCUCUCGAAGUGGAAAGAUUUAUCGGCUAAGGAUGGGCCCGCGGCCUAUCAGCUUGUUGGUGGGGUAAUGGCCUACCAAGGCGACGACGGGUAGCCGGCCUGAGAGGGCGACCGGCCACACUGGGACUGAGACACGGCCCAGACUCCUACGGGAGGCAGCAGUGGGGAAUCUUGCGCAAUGGGCGAAAGCCUGACGCAGCGACGCCGCGUGAGGGAUGACGGCCU